rnacentral:tRNA from 1 species
CUUUUAAAGGAUAGCAGUCAAUCCACUGGUCUUAGGAGCCA